rnacentral:rRNA from 1 species
CCUAGCGACGAGCGGCGAACGGGUGAGUAAUGCUUUGGAAUCUGCCCAGUAGUGGGGAAUAACCUGGGGAAACUCAGGCUAAUACCGCAUACGUCCUAAGGGAGAAAGCGGGGGAUCGCAAGACCUCGCGCUAUUGGAUGAGCCAAAGUCGGAUUAGCUAGUUGGUGGGGUAAAGGCCUACCAAGGCGACGAUCCGUAGCUGGUCUGAGAGGACGACCAGCCACACUGGGACUGAGACACGGCCCAGACUCCUACGGGAGGCAGCAGUGGGGAAUAUUGGACAAUGGGGGCAACCCUGAUCCAGCGACGCCGCGUGUGUGAAGAAGGCCUGCGGGUUGUAAAGCACUUUUAGUGGGGAUGAAAAGUCCAAGGUUAAUACCUUUGGAUCUUGACCUAACCCAAAGAAAAAGCACCGGCUAACUCUGUGCCAGCAGCCGCGGUAAUACAGAGGGUGCAAGCGUUAAUCGGAAUUACUGGGCGUAAAGCGUGCGUA